UACGUAGGGAGCAAGCGUUGUCCGGAUUCACUGGGCGUAAAGGGUGCGCAGGCGGAUUUGUUAGUCAGAGGUGAAAUCUCACGGCUUAACCGUGAAACUGCCUUUGAUACUGCAGAUCUUGAGUUUGGGAGAGGUUGAUGGAAUUCCAGGUGUAGCGGUGAAAUGCGUAGAUAUCUGGAAGAACACCAGUGGCGAAGGCGGUCAACUGGCCCAUAACUGACGCUCAGGCACGAAAGCGUGGGGAGCAAACAGG
rnacentral:rRNA from 1 species